rnacentral:rRNA from 1 species
AUUGAACGCUGGCGGCAUGCUUUACACAUGCAAGUCGAACGGUAACAGGCCGCAAGGUGCUGACGAGUGGCGAACGGGUGAGUAAUGCAUCGGAACGUGCCCAGUCGUGGGGGAUAACGCAGCGAAAGCUGCGCUAAUACCGCAUACGAUCUAUGGAUGAAAGCGGGGGACCGUAAGGCCUCGCGCGAUUGGAGCGGCCGAUGUCAGAUUAGGUAGUUGGUGGGGUAAAGGCUCACCAAGCCAACGAUCUGUAGCUGGUCUGAGAGGACGACCAGCCACACUGGGACUGAGACACGGCCCAGACUCCGACGGGAGGCAGCAGUGGGGAAUUUUGGACAAUGGGCGCAAGCCUGAUCCAGCAAUGCCGCGUGCAGGAAGAAGGCCUUCGGGUUGUAAACUGCUUUUGUACGGAACGAAACGGCUCUGGUUAAUACCGGGGGCUAAUGACGGUACCGUAAGAAUAAGCACCGGCUAACUACGUGCCAGCCGCCGCAGUAACAC